GGGCCCAGGUGUGGAGUGGCCGCCAUCCCUACCUGAGCACACAGCCCGGGAACAGGAUUUCGUUCUCCACCUGCACGAAGGAGCCUCGGGCCACCGUCAUCUUGUGCUCAUACUGCAUCCUCACCUGGUUGCGCAGGUAGUAGCUCUUGGGCACCUCACCCCCAUAGUUGAUCUGUGGGUGAGGGCUGCUGAGUGAGCACUGACCCCAGCCAUCAGCCCUCCCUUCUCACCCUCUGGGCACCCGGUACCUUGGUCAGGCACUUGGGGUUGCCAUCAGGAUCAGUCAUGGUCCCCCCAAACUCCACGGGCAGCUGCUCAGGGCUGAUGAACUUUGGCAGCUCCUGCUUCCAGUUGCCUGUGGGAGUAAGGUGGUGGGGGGGAGCUGUGGGGAAAUCAGGGAUGCUCGACAGAAGGGAGAGGAGCCAAGUCCAGGGAGGAAACCUGAUGUGACCUUGGCUUGCUCCCCUAUGCACCUACUGCAGAGAACACCCAAAUGCUUUAUAUGGCCACUCAGGCUGGGGUCUCGGGCUGAAAUAUCAUCUGAGUGUGCAAAGGCCAGCAGGGUCAGGCCAAAGUCAGUACCUGAGUAAAGAGGAUGAGCCAGGGAGAAAUGGGGCCUUUCACAUUGACCUCUGCUUCUCUGGUAGAUGCGGAGACAGGUACGGCCAGGACACCAGGUCACUCACCUCCCAGAAUCACUAUCUUCCUUUGUGUUUCCUCACUCAUGAACAUCUUGACCAAGUUGAAGGCCACAGGGAAGAGCUUGGGGGCUGAAACACAUGAAGCUCCUUUGGGAAGCUGGGCUAGAGGACUUGGAGGUAUAGUCAUGGCCAAGGGCAUAAGCUGAACAGGGGUUGGAUAGAUCUAGAUUCUGCUAUUUCCUGCUGUGUGACCUUCAGCUAGUUACUCACCCUCUCUGAGUCUUAGUGCUAUUAACUAGAAAAUGGAGAAAUUUAACCAAUGUAUGCAUAAUACUUGGCAUAGUGUCUGGCUCUCAAUAAACGGGUGCCUC
rnacentral:lncRNA from 1 species